rnacentral:rRNA from 1 species
GAUGAACGCUGGCGGCGUGCCUAAUACAUGCAAGUCGAGCGAACGGACGAGAAGCUUGCUUCUCUGAUGUUAGCGGCGGACGGGUGAGUAACACGUGGAUAACCUACCUAUAAGACUGGGAUAACUUCGGGAAACCGGAGCUAAUACCGGAUAAUAUUUUGAACCGCAUGGUUCAAAAGUGAAAGACGGUCUUGCUGUCACUUAUAGAUGGAUCCGCGCUGCAUUAGCUAGUUGGUAAGGUAACGGCUUACCAAGGCAACGAUGCAUAGCCGACCUGAGAGGGGGAUCGGCCACACUGGAACGGGAACACGGUCCAGACUCCUACGGGAGGCAGCAGUAGGGAAUCUUCCGCAAUGGGCGAAAGCCUGACGGAGCAACGCCGCGUGAGUGAUGAAGGUCUUCGGAUCGUAAAACUCUGUUAUUAGGGAAGAACAUAUGUGUAAGUAACUGUGCACAUCUUGACGGUACCUAAUCAGAAAGCCACGGCUAACUACGUG